rnacentral:rRNA from 1 species
GAUGAACGCUAGCGGCAGGCCUAACACAUGCAAGUCGAGGGGUAGCAGGAUUAAGCUUGCUUAAUUGCUGACGACCGGCGCACGGGUGCGUAACGCGUAUGCAACCUACCUUAUACUGGGGUAUAGCCCGGAGAAAUUCGGAUUAAUCCCCCAUAGUACUAAUGAAUCGCAUGGUUUAUUAGUUAAAGCAUUGCGGUAUAAGAUGGGCAUGCGUCCUAUUAGCUAGAUGGUGAGGUAACGGCUCACCAUGGCUACGAUAGGUAGGGGGCCUGAGAGGGGAGUCCCCCACACUGGUAGUGAGACAAGGACCAGACUCCUACGGGAGGCAGCAGUGAGGAAUAUUGGUCAAUGGGCGCAAGCCUGAACCAGCCAUGCCGCGUGCAGGAAGAAUGCCCUAUGGGUUGUAAACUGCUUUUAUUUGGGAAUAAACCUCUUUACGUGUAGAGAGCUGAAGGUACCAAAUGAAUAAGCACCGGCUAACUCCGUGCCAGCCGCCGCGGUAA